rnacentral:rRNA from 1 species
CGGCACCUCAAGUGGUCAGGAUGAUUAUUGGGCCUAAAGCAUCCGUAGCCGGCGCUGUAAGUUUUCGGUUAAAUCUGUACGCUCAACGUACAGGCUGCCGGGAAUACUGCAGCGCUAGGGAGUGGGAGAGGUAGACGGUACUCGGUAGGAAGGGGUAAAAUCCUUUGAUCUAUUGAUGACCACCUGUGGCGAAGGCGGUCUACCAGAACACGUCCGACGGUGAGGGAUGAAAGCUGGGGGAGCGAACCGGAUUAGAGACCCGAGUAGUCC